UAGUAUUUAUUCAUUUCACUUCUCCAAUUAGCCAAUUAGAGGUGUGAAGCAAAGUGAUAGCAUUUUGUUAAGUUGAUGAUUUUUAUUUUUUAGCUUGUCUGAAUAAAAGUUUAAUGUGACUCUUUUCGUGAGAAUUGAGUCGGGUAUGCGCAUAUCUUGACCUUUUCCUUUUUCUUUUUUUACCUUUUCUAUUAUUGGUGAAUUUGUAUACUAAUCCAAAUAUCACUGUUCUAGCUUAAAAUAUGGCUUAUCUAAUUAUUUAUAUAAUGUUGAUAUGACUGAUAACGGCUUUAAUUGUGCACUAUUGAAUUUGGUUUUAAGUGGUAACAACUUGAAUUGCUUUUGUUCCAAAUUAUGACCGUGUCUUAUUUUAUUUUCUUGUAUUUCAAUUGCUAAUGUUGUUUCCCUUUUAUUUUUAUGUAAAAUCCGCCCGAGUUCAUCGUGAACUCCCUCCUCCUCUCUUUGCAUGUCAUUUGGGCCACGAAGGCCUAAACUCCUUUAUCCCCGAGUCAGCCGACAAGCAAAUUUGAAGAACAAGUCCCUCAAAAUUUGACGAACAGGAAUUGGAAGUUGAUACAUCAAGAAUAUACAAUAAUAUACAUUAAGUGUAUAUGUUGUAUAUUGAGACAGAACGAGGCUCCCAAAAGCCUGUCUCUUUACCCCGACUUGUAUUUUGUUAUUUUGGGCCUAAGCCCCCCCUUUUGUCAUUAUUUAUUAUUAUCUUAUUAGUAUUUAGGACAGGUGGAAGACGGGCCUAAGGCCUAAAGAAAUAAUUUUCAUGUUAGUUUAGGACAGGUGCAGAUAACAAAAAAUUGGGCCAAAAGCCUAAAACGAAAAUGGGCUCGAGUGCUGGCCCAGGCGAACAGAAACCAGACUUGGGCCUCCAAGCCUCUUUCCCUCUUUAUCUUUUUUGUGUUUGUUUAUUUGCUAAUAUCUGUUAUUAAUCUUAAGGUUAAAAAAUUCAAAUCCCUGAAA
rnacentral:lncRNA from 1 species